GGAUUAGGCAUGCAAGUCGCACGAGAAAGGUUUCUUCGGAAGCCGAGUACAGUGGCGAACGGGUGAGUAAUGCAUAGACAACUCGCCCUUGAGAUGGGGACAACGCCUCGAAAGGGGUGCUAAUACCCAAUGCCGCCUUGGGCCCGCGGGUCCAGGGUGAAAGGAGGCCUCUGAUUCAAGCUUCCGCUCAAGGAGAGGUCUAUGUCCUAUUAGCUAGUUGGCGGGGUAACGGCCCACCAAGGCUGCGAUGGGUAGCCGACCUGAGAGGGUGACCGGCCACAUUGGGACUGAGACACUGCCCAGACUCCUACGGGAGGCUGCAGUCGAGAAUCUUCCGCAAUGCGCGCAAGCGUGACGGAGCGACGCCGCGUGGGUGAUGAAGGCCUUCGGGUUGUAAAACCCUGUUAGCUACUACGAAACACGGGCGAUGAACAAUCGUCCCGUCUGACUUAAGUAGCAGAGGAAGCACCGGCUAACUACGUGCCAGCAGCCGCGGUAAUACGUAGGGUGCAAACGUUGUUCGGAAUCACUGGGCAUAAAGGGCGCGUAGGCGGUCUGAUAAGUCAGGUGUGAAAUCCCUCGGCCUAACCGAGGAACUGCAUUUGAUACUGUCGGGCUAGAGUACAGGAGGGGAGAGUGGAAUUCCUGGUGGAGCGGUGAAAUGCGUAGAUAUCAGGAGGAACGCCGGCGGCGAAAGCGACUCUCUGGCCUGUUACUGACGCUGAGGCGCGAAAGCUAGGGGAGCAAACGGGAUUAGAUACCCCGGUAGUCCUAGCCCUAAACGAUGGGCACUAAGUAGAGGGGUUUU
rnacentral:rRNA from 1 species